UACAGAGGUCUCAAGCGUUGUUCGGAUUCAUCGGGCGUAAAGGGUGCGUAGGUGGCAUGGUAAGUCGGAUGUGAAAUCCCGGGGCUCAACCCCGGAACUGCAUUCGAUACUGCUGCGCUAGAGUACUGGAGAGGAGAUUGGAAUUUACGGUGUAGCAGUGAAAUGCGUAGAUAUCGUAAGGAAGACCAGUGGCGAAGGCGGAUCUCUGGAC
rnacentral:rRNA from 1 species